AAGCUAUUAAUUUCAAUUGAAUU
rnacentral:tRNA from 1 species